rnacentral:rRNA from 1 species
UACGAGAGGCCCAAACGUUAUUCGGAAUUACUGGGCUUAAAGAGUCCGUAGGCGGCGCGGAAAGUGGGGUGUGAAAGCCCUCGGCUCAACCGAGGAAUUGCGCUCCAAACUACCGUGCUCGAGGAACCUAGAGGUGAGCAGAACUGAUGGUGGAGCGGUGAAAUGCGUUGAUAUUGGGAGGAACACCAGUGGCGAAGGCGGCUCACUGGACCGGAACUGACGCUGAGGCGCGAAAGCGUGGGGAGCAAACGGG